rnacentral:misc_RNA from 1 species
CACGUAUCCAACGUUAAAACAACCCCCGUGAACUUGCUCUCCCUGGUAAAUCAUUGUUGACCAGCUUUUGAGUCAGGGACCUGCCGAUUGUGAUAUUUUAUAGCUACGGUUGAACGAUUGCAUCGUGACCGCAUCCCCAAGUAAUCAGUGUCUGAGAGUGUCAUUGAUUAUGUAAGGAGCCCGGGGCUCUGCCCCUUUAUGACAACACAGUACGAAUUGGCCGCGCGUGAAAUUCGCACGGCGAACAACUGUUAACAAUGGAC